CAACCCUCAGGCCCCCCUUAGGGGCGCCUGGUGUUGGGGACCGGCCCGCCCACCGCGGCGGCGCCGCCCCCGAAAUGCAGUGGCGACCUCGCCGCAGCCUCCCCUGCGUAGUAGCACAGCCUCGCACCGGAGCGCGGAGACGGUCACGCCGUGAAACGCCCAACUCUCAAG
rnacentral:misc_RNA from 1 species